GCCUCAGUCCUUUGCUGCUUUCAAAAAGCUUAACAGAGUCAGGCCAUGGUUGUUCUUAGCUGGGAGACCACUUGGAAAUCACUGGGCUGUAGGCU
rnacentral:rRNA from 1 species